AACCUACCCUCAACUUUGGGAUAAGCCUCGGAAACGGGGUCUAAUACCGGAUAUGAUCUCCUGCUUCAUGGUGGGGGGUUGAAAGUUCUGGCGGUUGGGGAUGGGCUCGCGGCCUAUCAGCUUGUUGGUGGGGUAAUGGCCUACCAAGGCGUCGACGGGUAGCCGGCCUGAGAGGGCGACCGGCCACACUGGGACUGAGACACGGCCCAGACUCCUACGGGAGGCAGCAGUGGGGAAUAUUGCGCAAUGGACGAAAGUCUGACGCAGCAACGCCGCGUGAGGGAUGACGGCCUUCGGGUUGUAAACCUCUUUCAGCAGGGACGAAGCGAGAGUGACGGUACCUGCAGAAGAAGGACCGGCCAACUACGUGCCAGCAGCCGCGGUAAUACGUAGGGUCCGAGCGUUGUCCGGAAUUAUUGGGCGUAAAGGGCUCGUAGGCGGUUCGUCACGUCGGGAGUGAAAACUCGGAGCUUAACUCCGAGCCUGCUUCCGAUACGGGCAGACUAGAGGUAGGCAGGGGAGAGCGGAACUCCUGGUGUAGCGGUGGAAUGCGCAGAUAUCAGGAAGAACACCGGUGGCGAAGGCGGCUCUCUGGGCCUUACCUGACGCUGAGGAGCGAAAGCGUGGGUAGCGAACAGGAUUAGAUACCCUGGUAGUCCACGCCGUAAACGUUGGGCGCUA
rnacentral:rRNA from 1 species